rnacentral:rRNA from 1 species
GAUGAACGCUGGCGGCGUGCUUAACACAUGCAAGUUGAACGGUGAAGCCAAGCUUGCUUGGUGGAUCAGUGGCGAACGGGUGAGUAACACGUGAGCAACCUGCCCUGGACUCUGGGAUAAGCGCUGGAAACGGCGUCUAAUACUGGAUAUGAGCCUCUUCCGCAUGGUGGGGGUUGGAAAGAUUUUUUGGUCUGGGAUGGGCUCGCGGCCUAUCAGCUUGUUGGUGAGGUAAUGGCUCACCAAGGCGUCGACGGGUAGCCGGCCUGAGAGGGUGACCGGCCACACUGGGACUGAGACACGGCCCAGACUCCUACGGGAGGCAGCAGUGGGGAAUAUUGCACAAUGGGCGAAAGCCUGAUGCAGCAACGCCGCGUGAGGGAUGACGGCCUUCGGGUUGUAAACCUCUUUUAGCAGGGAAGAAGCGAAAGUGACGGUACCUGCAGAAAAAGCGCCGGCUAACUACGUG